ACCUACGUGGACCUCUCCCAGUUCUCCCAGAACAUGGGCAAUAGGGAGAAGUGGCUGCACUGUGAACAGAUAGCCAUUCAGAAGAGUAGUCUGUGCUGGUUCUCCAGGGAAGGAUUAUUGGCUACAGCCCAGCUCAUGCAGGCCUUGGCCUACACCAAGCUCUGCCUUGGCCAUCUUGACUUCUCCAUCAAGCUGGGUAAUGGGAUGUUGGGGCUGGUGGGCCCAGAGAUUUCACAGAGUCCAGGUUCACAGACCUCACACAAUGCUCUUUAACCUCCUUAGGUUUUCAAGCUCAUGAGCUAUGCAGACACCUCAAGAAACCGGCUCUGGAGAAUCUAGUUCUCUCAGUUCUUUUCAGAUCUGCAUUUCUGAAGAAAAAGUAUUAAGAUCAUUUUCAGUUAUUGUAGUCAUUGUAUAAGAAUGGGAGAGAUGUCCUUCAGAGAAGUUUGGGGUGGAAUGGGAGAUGCUUUUCCAUUUCCACAGCCAGGGCUCUUUACCCUGACCCCUCCAAGAAGCAUUAUCUUAAGUGCAGGGUGUCAGGAGUGGAAAUGCAGGGUGGAACUCCACUUGGACCUAGUGGGCAAACUUUGUUUCCCCGCCCCCCAUUUCCCUGCAGGGAGGACAGGGGAUUACAACAGCUCGGGUUCCUUGAAACUCCCUCAGAGGCAUUUCCCACCUCCUUUACCUAGAGAAAGGUCUGAUCUCAGGCCUAUGUUCUCUAUAUAAACAAAGCUCUGGAGAGGAGUUCUUGGGAGUAUUAGGUGCUUUGAAGGUUAAGAUCCCCUCCUUUCCUGCCCCAUCUUCCCCCACUCCCUAGCUGGUCCCAGUGGCUCUGUCUCUCGGCAGAUAUGAUCUGUGUGUCCAUGUGCUGGAGAGUCAGUGGGCGCUCAUUUCCCAGGGUCAUGAUGUCCUCGGCCUGGCCUGCUUCUACUCUGCUUGCUUAGAUCUGCUGUUGUAUGGAAAAGGUAAAUCUUGCACAGGGCUCUGCUGUAUGCUUAAGGGAUGCAAACGUCAGAUGGGGCACUAGGUUUGGAACAUAGGCAAUAUGAACCCAUCCCUCGGGCAUGGUCCCUUUUUCCUAAAGUCUGAGUUGUGAUUUAGAGGGUAUCUGCUUUUCUGGUUUGUUUCCUCCCUGUACCACCCCUUCUAUACCUCACUCUCUAUGUCGACAAUAUAUACUAGCCCGGUUACUCUCUUUGUCCACAGGAUUGCUGUGUCGGCCCUUUGGCGAGUGUCUGUGUUUCAUUCAACACUAUGGGCACAGCUGUGUUCUAACUUCUCAAAGCAAUGUCAUGCUGGGGGUCCAUUCCUCCCUGGCCAUGUGGUAAUGUCCCGCUGAGGAUCUGUGGGAAAGGGUAGAAUUCUAAGGUCCUCCUGAACUCAUUUCGGCACCUCACCCCUCUAAGCAGGACAAUUCAACAUCUUACUUUUAAAGACCAUUCAUCACCCAUCCCCUAUAUCUUACUAAAACAGUUCUUCUCGCCCUUUGUAGAUUUGGGCCCAUAAGUUGAGGGUUACAUUUAAGAGCUAGAGUAACCCACGGCAAGGCUGAUUAUCAUGGUCUGUCCCACGGCAAGGCUGAUUAUCGUGGUCUGUUCUUUGGUCUCCUUGCAUGUGAGCUAGACUUCAACAUUUUCCAGCACCAUAAUUCUGACUGGGUGCCUCAGGGCCUUAAAGAAGUGACAGUUCAUGAAAGAAACAUGGUUUAUAAACGGGGGAUAGAGUUGAGAGUUAUGACUCUUUCCUUCUAGGUUUGCCCAGAACUCACAGUGGGACCUAUUUGAGCAUCACUUCUCCAAGGCUUGCCGAUUGGUGAAAAGAGCCAAUGCCUCACUAUUUGGUUCACAUGGCUUUGUGCGAUUCCUAGAGUGCCGUGUGCUGAUGUUACAGAAAAUGCCAGAGGAGGUCUCUGGUCUUUCCCCAGAGACCCCCAGCCAAACCCUCCAGUACUUUAAGGAGUUCUUCUCUCGGUGUGUGACCUGCCCUGUCUAUAAAGAGUGGGUCUCUGAGCUUAAGGCCUCUGUGAUGAGGUAUGGAAAGAAAGAAUCCAUGACCUUGACUAACUCCAUCAGACCUUUUGAGACCAGCUUGACCAGGAUUUGGAUAGAGGGAGAAUUCCUAAAGAAAAACAACUGUUAUGAAAAAAAAAUUAGGAAUACAGAGAUUUGACAGUGUGGCUGAUGUCAAGGAGAAUAAGGACACAGAAGAAACUCAAAGAAUAUAUAUGUUCAAACAAAAGAAAAAUAACCUGAUGGGACCACGAUUCUCAUAUUGUAUAUAAUGCAAGGAAAUGCCCUGAGUUCUCCGUGUUCACCAUGUGCAUGCUGAAUAGACUAACCUUCAUAGUCACUGCAGCCUAUGUCUUUGUCAAAAUAAAAGCCUAUG